rnacentral:rRNA from 1 species
AUGGAGCUGUUCGCGCACGCCAAGGCGGUGCGGCUGAAGAGCCGGCACGACAAGUUCCUGUACGCGGACGAGGACGAGCUGCACGUCACGCAGGACCGCAACGGCUCCUCCCCGAGCGCGCGCUGGACGGUGGAGCCCGUGCCGCACGCGCCCGGCGCGGUGCGCCUCCGCAGCAGGUACGGCCGCUACCUGGCCGCCUCCACGGAGCCGUUCCUGCUGGGCAUGACGGGCCGCAAGGUGCUGCAGGCGGCCGCGGCGCCCGGGGGCCGCCCCGACGCGUCCGUCGAGUGGGAGCCCGUCCGCGACGGCUUCCAGGUGCGCCUCAAGUCCCGCGCCGGCGGCGUCCGCGGGGGCGGGGACAAGUACCUCCGCGCCAACGGGGGCGUCCCGCCCUGGCGCAACUCCGUCACCCACGACGUGCCGCACCGCACCGCCACCCAGGACUGGGUGCUCUGGGACGUCGAGAUCGUGCAGGUGCUCACCCCCGGCCCGGCCACGCCCGCGCCCGAGAAGGCCGCGUCGGCGCCCCCCGCCGCCCUCGCGCCGGACUCGCCGCCCGCGCCCAAGCUCAGGCCCGCCCCCACCCCCUACGAGGCGCACCACCGGCCCACCAAGUCCCAGACGUCCCCGCCGCCGCCGGACUACGCGCCGCCCCCGCCGCCCAAGCCCAAGCCGGAGCCCAGGCUCUCCAAGCUGGAGUCUUCCGAUUCAUUCUCUGCCCCGUUGCACAAGGUGCAGGGUCGUGCGAUCCACUACCACAUUGCAGACGAUAAGGGCGACGUGGACGAUGAUAUCGAGAGACGCUCAUUCACGUUUAAUGGCUCUAACCUGGAGGAGCUCACCCAGAAGUUACAAGAGGAAACAGGCAUCGAUGAUCUGAUCGUCUGCACACGCAGCCCAAUCAGCGGGAAGCUCACUCCUCUCCUUCUGCAGCUGCCUCCGAACAAUGCAGCGAUGCACAUUGUGCUCGUCCGUGAGUCCUCAAAAGUGGCGAAGACAUUCCCAUGGCCGUACGGCUCAUAA